CGCCUGUUUUUCAAAAACAUAACCUUUAGCCACAACCAAGUAUUAAAGGCAACGCCUGCCCAGUGAACAAUUAAACGGCCGCGGUACCCUAACCGUGCAAAGGUAGCGUAAUCACCUGUCUAUUAAUUGUAGACCCGUAUGAAUGGCAUAAUGAGGGCCUAACUGUCUCUUAUARUAAAUCAAUUAAACUGAUCUCCCAGUCCAAAAGCUGGAAUUCACACAUAAGACAAGAAGACCCUGUGAAGCUUAAACUUUACUAUUAAACCUAAUAAUAGCUACUUUCGGUUGGGGCGACCUUGGAAAAAAAACAAACUUCCAAACACCGUGACCUACAUCACACCCACUUUAAGGCCAACAAGCCAAAACACGACCCAGCACAGCUGACAACUGAACCAAGUUACUCCAGGGAUAACAGCGCCAUCUUCUUCAARAGCCCAUAUCAAAAARAAGGUUUACGACCUCGAUGUUGGAUCAGGACAUCCUAAUGGUGCACCACCUAUUAAGGGUUCGUUUG
rnacentral:rRNA from 1 species